rnacentral:rRNA from 1 species
UACGUAGGGAGCAAGCGUUGUCCGGAAUCAUUGGGCGUAAAGCGCGCGUAGGUGGCCCUGUAAAUCCGUUGUGAAAGUCAAAGGCUCAACCUUUGAAAGCCGAUGGAUACUGCAGGGCUAGAGUACGGAAGAGGCGAGUGGAAUUCCUGGUGUAGCGGUGAAAUGCGCAGAUAUCAGGAAGAACACCCGUGGCUAAGGCGGCUCUCUAGUACGGUACUGACGCUGAGACGCGAAAGCGUGGGGAGCGAACAGG